rnacentral:rRNA from 1 species
CAGCCGCCGCGGUAAAACGAAGGGUGCAAGCGUUAAUCGGAAUUACUGGGCGUAAAGCGCGCGUAGGUGGUUUGUUAAGUUGGAUGUGAAAUCCCCGGGCUCAACCUGGGAACUGCAUUCAAAACUGACUGACUAGAGUAUGGUAGAGGGUGGUGGAAUUUCCUGUGUAGCGGUGAAAUGCGUAGAUAUAGGAAGGAACACCAGUGGCGAAGGCGACCACCUGGACUAAUACUGACACUGAGGUGCGAAAGCGUGGGGAGCAAACAGGAUUAGAUACCCGCGUAGUCCCUGUCUCUUAUAC